UGCCCUCAUCGUCUAGCCCGGCCUAGGACACCGCUCUUUCAAGGCGGUGACGGGGGUUCGAAUCCCCCUGAGGGCGCCAU
rnacentral:tRNA from 1 species